UAUUUCACAUCAAUGGUGUUAUAGCGCCAUGAUUCACGUCAAUGGUGUUAAUGAUGUGACUCAUGGCGCUAUAACACCAUUGAUGUGAAU
rnacentral:pre_miRNA from 1 species